GCGAACGCUGGCGGCGUGCUUAACACAUGCAAGUCGAACGAUGAUGCCCAGCUUGCUGGGUGGAUUAGUGGCGAACGGGUGAGUAACACGUGAGUAACCUGCCCCUGACUCUGGGAUAAGCGUUGGAAACGACGUCUAAUACUGGAUAUGAUCACUGGCCGCAUGGUCUGGUGGUGGAAAGAUUUUUUGGUUGGGGAUGGACUCGCGGCCUAUCAGCUUGUUGGUGAGGUAAUGGCUCACCAAGGCGACGACGGGUAGCCGGCCUGAGAGGGUGACCGGCCACACUGGGACUGAGACACGGCCCAGACUCCUACGGGAGGCAGCAGUGGGGAAUAUUGCACAAUGGGCGAAAGCCUGAUGCAGCAACGCCGCGUGAGGGAUGACGGCCUUCGGGUUGUAAACCUCUUUUAGUAGGGAAGAAGGGAGCUUGCUCUUGACGGUACCUGCAGAAAAAGCACCGGCUAACUACGUGCCAGCAGCCGCGGUAAUACGUAGGGUGCAAGCGUUGUCCGGAAUUAUUGGGCGUAAAGAGCUCGUAGGCGGUUUGUCGCGUCUGCUGUGAAAUCCCGAGGCUCAACCUCGGGCUUGCAGUGGGUACCGGCAGACUAGAGUGCGGUAGGGGAGAUUGGAAU
rnacentral:rRNA from 1 species